CAAUAGCGUAUAUUUAAGUUGCUGCAGUUAAAAAGCUCGUAGUUGGAUUUCGGGUGGGAAUGGCCGGUCCGCCGUUUCGGUGUGCACUUGCUACGCCCACCUUGCUGCCGGGGACGUGCUCUUGAGUUCACGCUCGGGACACGGAGUCGGCGAGGUUACUUUGAGUAAAUUAGAGUGUUCAAAGCAGGCCUACGCUCUGAAUACAUUAGCAUGGAAUAACACGAUAGGACUCUGGCCUAUCUUGUUGGUCUGUAGGACCGGAGUAAUGAUUAAGAGGGACAGUCGGGGGCAUUCGUAUUUCCUUGUCAGAGGUGAAAUUCUUGGAUUUAUGAAAGACGAACUACUGCGAAAGCAUUUGCCAAGGAUGUUUUCAUUAA
rnacentral:rRNA from 1 species